CGCCCGUCACACCAUGAGAGUUGGUAAUACCAGAAGCACGUAUCUUAACCAUUAGGAGAGAGCGUACCAAGGUAGGACUAGCGAUUAGGGUGAAGUCGUAACAAGGUAUCCGUACGGGAACGUGCGGAUGGAUCACCUCCUUUCUAUGGAGUUAACUAUAGAUUAGUACAUAAAGCUGAGCGAAUCGAUAAAACAGCUUUUGAUUAUAUUCUGGUUCUAUCUAGUUUUCAGGGAUUGUUAGAGCAUUUUUUGCUCUUAAUCUCUGAAAAAAAUUGUUCUUUGAAAACUGGAUAUUAGAUGAAAAAAGACAUUUUAUUUUUUCUACGUUUCAAUUUAUUGAAACAAAUGACAGUAACUUAAUUUAAAUAUUAAAAAAUUACUAAGAAAAAAUCUAAAAUUUCAAAUUUUUAUAUAGAAUAGAUUAUCUAUAAUGCAAUAGGAUUUCUUUUUAAGAAAGUAUAGUAAGGGCAUAUGGUGAAUGCCUUGGAAAAUGGAGCCGAUGAAGGACGUGAUUACCUGCGAAAAGUUUCGGGGAGCUGGAAAUAAGCUUUGAUCCGGAAAUGUCCGAAUGGGGAAACCCACUAUGAUUAAUCUCAUAGUAUCCUUGACUGAAUACAUAGGUCAAGAGAAGGGAACCUAGGGAACUGAAACAUCUUAGUACCUAGAGGAAGAGAAAACGAAUGUGAUUCUGUGAGUAGCGGCGAGCGAAAGCGGAACAGGCCAAACCGGUCUUCGGGCCGGGGUUGUAGGACUCAUGUUAGAGUUACAAAAUUAGUGUAUAGCAGAAGCUGUUGGGAAGCAGCGGCGUAGAGGGUGAUACCCCCGUAUGCGAAAUGCACUAAUCUCGAUUGAGUAUCCUGAGUACGGCGGGGCACGUGAAACCCUGUCGGAAUCCACCCAGACCACUGGGUAAGCCUAAAUACUACCAUUUUACCGAUAGUGAACCA
rnacentral:sRNA from 1 species